rnacentral:rRNA from 1 species
GAGUUUGAUCCUGGCUCCAGAUUGAACCGCUGGCGGCAGGCCUAACACAUGCAAGUCGAGCGGAUGACGGGAGCUUGCUCCUUGAUUCAGCGGCGGACGGGUGAGUAAUGCCUAGGAAUCUGCCUGGUAGUGGGGGCAACGUUUCGAAAGGAACGCUAAUACCGCAUACGUCCUACGGGAGAAAGCAGGGGACCUUCGGGCCUUGCGCUAUCAGAUGAGCCUAGGUCGGAUUAGCUAGUUGGUGGGGUAAUGGCUCACCAAGGCGACGAUCCGUAACUGGUCUGAGAGGAUGAUCAGUCACACUGGAACUGAGACACGGUCCAGACUCCUACGGGAGGCAGCAGUGGGGAAUAUUGGACAAUGGGCGAAAGCCUGAUCCAGCCAUGCCGCGUGUGUGAGGAAGGUCUUCGGAUUGUAAAAGCACUUUAAGUUGGGAGGAAGGGCAGUAAGUUAAUACCUUGCUGUUUUGACGUUACCGACAGAAUAAGC